AUUGAACGCUGGCGGCAGGCUUAACACAUGCAAGUCGAACGAGUGGCGGACGGGUGAGUAAUGCUUGGGAAUCUAGCUUAUGGAGGGGGAUACCUACGGGAAACUGUAGCUAAUACCGCGUACCAUAAGAUGAGCCUAAGGGGGAUUAGGUAGUUCGUGAGGUAAAGGCUCACCAAGCCGACGACCUCUAGCUGGUCUGAGCGGAUGACCAGCCACACGGGGACUGAGAACGGGCCCGGACUCCUACGGGAGGCAGCAGUGGGGAAUAUUGCGCAAUGGGGGAAACCUGACGCAGCCAUGCCGCGGGAAUGAAGAAGGCCUUCGGGUUGUAAAGUUCUUUCGGUAGCGAGGCGUUAACUACAGAAGAAGCACCGGCUAACUCCGUGCCAGCAGCCGCGGUAAUUC
rnacentral:rRNA from 1 species